rnacentral:rRNA from 1 species
GACGAACGCUGGCGGCGUGCUUAACACAUGCAAGUCGAACGGAAAGGCCCUGCUUUUGUGGGGUGCUCGAGUGGCGAACGGGUGAGUAACACGUGAGUAACCUGCCCUUGACUUUGGGAUAACUUCAGGAAACUGGGGCUAAUACCGGAUAGGAGCUCCUGCUGCAUGGUGGGGGUUGGAAAGUUUCGGCGGUUGGGGAUGGACUCGCGGCUUAUCAGCUUGUUGGUGGGGUAGUGGCUUACCAAGGCUUUGACGGGUAGCCGGCCUGAGAGGGUGACCGGCCACAUUGGGACUGAGAUACGGCACAGACUCAUACGGGAGGCAGCAGUGGGGACUAUUGCAAAAUGGGCGGAAGCCUGAUGCAGCAACGCCGCGUGCGGGAUGACGGCCUUCGGGUUGUAAACCGCUUUCGCCUGUGACGAAGAGUGAGUGACGGUAAUGGGUAAAGAAGCACCGGCUAACUACGU